AUUGAACGCUGGCGGCAGGCCUAACACAUGCAAGUCGAGCGGAUGAAGGGAGCUGGCUCCUGGAUUCAGCGGCGGACGGGUGAGUAAUGCCUAGGAAUCUGCCUGGUAGUGGGGGAUAACGUCCGGAAACGGGCGCUAAUACCGCAUACGUCCUGAGGGGGAAAGUGGGGGAUCUUCGGACCUCACGCUAUCAGAUGAGCCUAGGUCGGAUUAGCUAGUUGGUGGGGUAAAGGCCUACCAAGGCGACGAUCCGUAACUGGUCUGAGAGGAUGAUCAGUCACACUGGAACUGAGACACGGCCCAGACUCCUACGGGAGGCAGCAGUGGGGAAUAUUGGACAAUGGGCGAAAGCCUGAUCCAGCCAUGCCGCGUGUGUGAAGAAGGUCUUCGGAUUGUAAAGCACUUUAAGUUGGGAGGAAGGGAAGUAAGUUAAUACCUUGCUGUUUUGACGUUACCAACAGAAUAAGCACCGGCUAACUUCGUG
rnacentral:rRNA from 1 species